AGAGUCUUUCUCUCCUUAUCCCCCGAGCAUUUCGGUCCCUCGUGAUUCGACUUCUCUUUCUGUAGUUUUAGUAUAGUAAGGUGAGCGCUGAAGCGCUGCACGAAUCUUUCUUAGAAAGAUUCAGCGACGAAGUUCUGCCCCUACAGAGCCCGACUCCUAGCUAAAAUCCCCUUGUAAGUUUCGUCGAAGGAAAUUAUUUUAAAGUAAACGAAGCGCUGUCCGAGUACCGAGUCACCACCUUCUCAAGUGUUGAUAUGAAGUGACACUACACUGAGAGAUUUAAAGAGAUGUAGAUCACUAGUGUAAAUAAUUGUAAGUUCUGUUUAUGCUUAUGUUUCUGUAUU